CACGUAGGGGACGAGCGUUGUCCGGAUUCAUUGGGCGUAAAGCGCGCGUAGGCGGCUCGGCAAGUCGGUCGUGAAAUGCCGGGGCUCAACCCCGGGACUGCGUCCGAUACUCCCGAGCUGGAGGCAGGUAGGGGAGAUCGGAAUUCCUGGUGUAGCGGUGAAAUGCGCAGAUAUCAGGAGGAACACCGGUGGCGAAGGCGGAUCUCUGGGCCUUGCCUGACGCUGAGGCGCGAAAGCGUGAGGAGCAAACAGG
rnacentral:rRNA from 1 species